UACGUAGGGUGCAAGCGUUACUCGGAAUUACUGGGCGUAAAGCGUGCGCAGGCGGUUGUGUAAGUCAGAUGUGAAAUCCCCGGGCUCAACCUGGGAAUUGCAUUUGAGACUGCACGGCUAGAGUGUGUCAGAGGGGGGUAGAAUUCCACGUGUAGCAGUGAAAUGCGUAGAGAUGUGGAGGAAUACCGAUGGCGAAGGCAGCCCCCUGGGAUAACACUGACGCUCAUGCACGAAAGCGUGGGGAGCAAACAGG
rnacentral:rRNA from 1 species